rnacentral:rRNA from 1 species
UACAGAGGGGGGCAAGCGUUGUCCGGAUUCAUUGGGCGUAAAGAGCGUGUAGGCGGCCAGGUAGGUCGGUUGUGAAAACUGGAGGCUCAACCUUCAGAGGUCGACCGAAACCAUCUGGCUAGAGUCCGGGAGAGGAGAGUGGAAUUCCUGGUGUAGCGGUGAAAUGCGCAGAUAUCAGGAAGAACACCCGUGGCGAAAGCGGCUCUCUGGAACGGUACUGACGCUGAGACGCGAAAGCGUGGGGAGCAAACCGG